UCCGAGUCCUCAACUGACGCUAAUGCUCGAAAGUGCGGGUAUCGAACAGGAUUAGAUACCCUGGUAGUCCGCACGGUAAACGAUGGAUGCCCGCUGUUGGCGAUACACAGUCAGCGGCCAAGCGAAAGCGUUAAGCAUCCCACCUGGGGAGUACGCCGGCAACGGUGAAACUCAAAGGAAUUGACGGGGGCCCGCACAAGCGGAGGAACAUGUGGUUUAAUUCGAUGAUACGCGAGGAACCUUACCCGGGCUUGAACUGCAGCAGAACGAUUGAGAGAUCAUGAGGUCCUUCGGGACUGCUGUGGAGGUGCUGCAUGGUUGUCGUCAGCUCGUGCCGUGAGGUGUCGGCUUAAGUGCCAUAACGAGCGCAACCCCUUUCAUUAGUUGCCAUCACUUCGGGUGGGCACUCUAGUGAUACUGCCACCGUAAGGUGUGAGGAAGGUGGGGAUGACGUCAAAUCAGCACGGCCCUUACGUCCGGGGCUACACACGUGUUACAAUGGGUGGUACAGAGCGUCGGCCGUCUGUAAAUGCGGUCCAAUCGUGAAAUCCAUCCUCAGUUCGGAUUGGGGUCUGCAACCCGACCCCAUGAAGCUGGAUUC
rnacentral:rRNA from 1 species